UGGGGAAUAUUGGACAAUGGGGGGAACCCUGAUCCAGCCAUGCCGCGUGUGUGAAGAAGGCCUUAUGGUUGUAAAGCACUUUAAGCGAGGAGGAGGGUACUGGUAUUAAUACUACCAGGUACUGGACGUUACUCGCAGAAUAAGCACCGGCUAACUCUGUGCCAGCAGCCGCGGUAAUACAGAGGGUGCAAGCGUUAAUCGGAAUUACUGGGCGUAAAGCGCGCGUAGGUGGUUCGUUAAGUUGAAUGUGAAAGCCCCGGGCUAAACCUGGGAACUGCAUCCAAAACUGGCGAGCUAGAGUAGGGCAGAGGGUGGUGUAAUUUCCUGUGUAGCGGUGAAAUGCGUAGAUAUAGGAAGGAACACCAGUGGCGAAGGCGACCACCUGGGCUCAUACUGACACUGAGGUGCGAAAGCGUGGGGAGCAAACAGG
rnacentral:rRNA from 1 species